UUUGAGCUAAGAAUCUAAAUAAAGCAAGAAAAUUACCACUAAAUAUUUUAGCUUUAGGUAAAAUUUAAACCUAAAUUUAUUUAUAGAGUCAAAUUUCAAAUCUUAAGAGAUAAACAAGGAUUAGAUACCCUUCUAUACUUAAGACUUUUGAGCAGGGUAGUAACUAGUUAUGUUCUUCAAACCCAAAGGAUUUGGCGGUGCUCUAUAUAAUUAGAGGAGCCUGUGGAAUAAUCGAAACUACGCGCUAUAUCUUACCAAAGCUAAGCUUGUAUACCGUCGUCUAGGCAAUUCUAAAAAGACUUACCUAACUGAGAUAUACCUAUGGCAGAUCAAGGUGCAGCUUGCUUUGGUUACUAUAGGCUACAAUCUAGAUAUAGCUAGAAGAGGAAAGUAAGGUAACCUCUGAAAUAGGAUUUAAUAGUAAUUUAAGUUUAAUACACUAAAAUAAAAUUUCCAUAGAGCAUGUACAUAUCGCCCGUCACUCUCAUAUUCU
rnacentral:rRNA from 1 species